rnacentral:lncRNA from 1 species
CCACAGUCACGGCUCGAAUACAGAAUAUUCCUCAGCAAGGCUCCAGUGUUGAAGGUUGCUUGGACCCAGCCACUGAGAGCCACGGGAUCCUGAGGGCUUUGAGUAAUCUGAGGAUUGAUCCGUUGGCCAGGUUGUCAUUUAAUUACAUGGUCAUGUGGAGGGAUGGGGAGAUAAGGCCUGGCUGGAAGCAGGUCACAGGUGGAGCAGCGAAGCCUCUUGACAGGCAGGUCUUCACCCCUCUGCCUACUUCCUGGAAUUCUUCCCCCUCAGUGUCAUCACACCGGGCCUUCCCACCCCAGGCUCAUAGCAAAGGAGACAGCUCAUUAUGGACUGCAACCUUGGAAACACAUCUUUAAACUCUUCCAGGAACACAGUUAAAUUUAAAAGACUGACAUACCAAGAGGGACAGGAACCUUCCUAAUGAACUGCAGAAUGACACUCAGACCACCCCAUGAGAUGAAAAGGACUCUCAGCCUGCCUCCCAGGGAAUUCAGGCAUGCUUUUCACGAAUCUGCUGUCUUCCCCAGGUUAAAAAGUUCUAACACCCCAGUGGUCAUACUGAGGUUGCUCCCCCAGCUGCAGCCCGAGGAAAAGGAAGAUGACGUCAACUGCCAAUCGUUGCAUUGCCUAUUGAACUUGGUAGAGAUCUGGAGGAGAGCAGGGAUUGAAGCCAGGGGCACUCGGUGUGACUUUCCUGGCAGUCUGGACUAUGGUUUGGGCAGGUGCCUCUGGAGCUUAGCUGUGGAUACGCCGAUGCCUCGCUCCAAUCCUGACUAACACACACUCCUGCUCCCAACUCCAGCCAAGGCCCCCAGAGAACAGAGCUAUGAAAUGCCCUAGAUGUGGAAGACCCUGCCUCGCCACUGCUGUGACCCCUAGACAAGUGUCUGACCUCUCUGAGUUCCAAUUUUUCCCUCUGCCGUUCUGUAGUAUAAAUAGGAAAGUGUGUGGGAAAGACCUCUGAGAACAGUGACGUGGACUUCUAAGCUGCGUCUCCACAAACCAAAGGGAAUUUGUUAAGCAUUAAAGACAUUU